rnacentral:rRNA from 1 species
GAUGAACGCUGGCGGCGUGCUUAACACAUGCAAGUCGAACGGGAUCCCAGGAGCUUGCUCCUGGGUGAGAGUGGCGAACGGGUGAGUAAUGCGUGACCGACCUGCCCCAUACACCGGAAUAGCUCCUGGGAACGGGUGGUAAUGCCGGAUGCUCCAGUUGGAUGCAUGUCCUUCUGGGAAAGAUUCAUCGGUAUGGGAUGGGGUCGCGUCCUAUCAGCUUGAUGGCGGGGUAACGGCCCACCAUGGCUUCGACGGGUAGCCGGCCUGAGAGGGCGACCGGCCACAUUGGGACUGAGAUACGGCCCAGACUCCUACGGGAGGCAGCAGUGGGGAAUAUUGCACAAUGGGCGCAAGCCUGAUGCAGCGACGCCGCGUGCGGGAUGACGGCCUUCGGGUUGUAAACCGCUUUUGACUGGGAGCAAGCCCUUCGGGGUGAGUGU